ensembl:lncRNA
CUCAGUCGUCACCUCAUUGCGUUGGGAGGACUCCCACAUCCCACUGCCCCCUCCAGCUGCAGCCGGGGCUGUCAGACCUUCAAAGGAAUUCGGUACAAAGCGAAGCCCGAACGAAACCACGCUUUGCAGGCAUGCUUUAUUUGCUUCAACAACGAGGUCUGCAUGGUUUGCAGGGGCUUUCCCCCCACCCCUGCCUAUCUGUGCCCUCACACAAAGGAACGGAACCAAGCCCGUGCCCGAGCUCCCAGCCAGGAGCCCUCAGCAGCAGAACGUGCUGCAUCUGCUCUGGCUCUGGGCUCUGCCACCGCGGUCCCAACUUCAGCCUCCCCGUGCCGAGGCUCAGCUCCAACAGAGGGACUGCUGCAGCCGUGGGACGGCCCUGCAUGGCCCUGGCAUGUCAUAUAUGGCAACCUUUUGCCUCGGUGACCUCAUGUUUGGCAGCAGGCCGGGUGACGCGGGCUGGGAUGAAAGCAGCUGUGGGUGUCUCGCGUGAGCUGCGGUGCAGACAGUGCUGAACGCACAGCUGGGACCUGGGGACACAUCCAGCCCCCAAGGAUGGGGGGGACCGGGGCAGUGCCACCGCUGUGGGACGCUCUGAGACCAUGCCCACAUCCUCAUUGACACGAUGACAGCUCCGAGGCCACGUGGGACCUCCUGUGUCCCUUUUGGCGGUGACCCCGCAGCUCGUGGGUCCUCACUGCUGCACCCACACCUCCGCAUCCUCGCCCCGAGAAUGGAUCGGGAUGCAGCAAAACGAAGCAGGAG